UACGGAAGGCAGCAGUGGGGAAUAUUGCACAAUGGGCGAAAGUCUGAUGCAGCUAUGCCGCGUGUAUGAAGAAGGCCUUAGGGUUGUAAAGUACUUUCAUCGGGGAGGAAAAAACAAAACUAAUAAUUUUAUUUCUUGACGUUACCCGAAAAAGAAGCACCGGCUAACUCCGUGCCAGCAGCCGCGGUAAUACGGAGGGUGCUAGCGUUAAUCAGAAUUACUGGGCGUAAAGAGCACGUAGGUGGUUUUUUUAAGUCAGAUGUGAAAUCCCUGGGCUUAACCUAGGAACUGCAUUUUGAAACUGAAAUACUAGAGUAUCGUAGAGGGAGGUAGAAUUCUAGGUGUAGCGGUGAAAUGCGUAGAUAUCUGGAGGAAUACCUGUGGCGAAAGCGGCCUCCUAAACGAAUACUGACACUGAGGUGCGAAAGCGUGGGGAGCAAACAGGGAUUAGAUACC
rnacentral:rRNA from 1 species